UCAAAAAUCUGAAACCAUUUGAAUUUAACCCACCCCAACAUUGGAGAAAGAAAGCUAACUUGUUCGGAAAGCGCACUUCGGUAGCGGCCGGUAGACGCCAUGGACGAGAGCGGCCGCCGCCGUCAACAGUGGCGAAACCAUCCUUCCUCCUCCUCCUCCUCGACCGGCCAUACACGUUUCCGGUCCCAACAAUACUCUUCCAAUCCAACGAAAACCACCCGAUCCUCUAACUUUGUUCCACGGUCCACAACUACCACUGGCACUACCCCUCACAAUACCAGAAAUCCCGGCUAUGUCCCCAAGUGGAAAUCCGUAUCAAAUGCGAAUAAUCAACAAGAAGGAGAAACAGAAGCAGGAGAAGAGGUUGGUUCUAUAGUUGGAACUUGCCCUUUCAUGUGCCCAGAGGGGGAGAGGGCUCAGCGGGAACGGCUUCGAGAUUUAGCUAUUUUUGAAAGGUUAAAUGGAGAUCCUAGGAAAACAUCUGCAGCUUUAGCUGUCAAAAAGUUUUGCAGAACUAUAUCACUGAAGUAUGUCCAAGCGUCAGAUGUGCGGCCUCUCUCAGUAUUGGAAGACACAUUAAAUUACCUUCUAAACCUACUGGACUGGAGUGAAUAUCCUUUUGAAGUGGUUCAUGACUUCAUUUUUGAUAGGACUCGGUCAAUAAGGCAGGAUCUUGGCAUGCAGAAUAUUGUCAAUGAUAGAGCAAUUUGCAUGUAUGAGAAAAUGGUAAAAUUUCAUGUAGUAUCUCACCACAGGCUUCAAAAUUGUGGCAGUUCAAGUAUUUCAUCAUUGCAAUAUCUCAACAUGGAGCAGCUUAUGAAGACUUUGGCGUCUCUUUAUACUCUGUAUGAAGCAAAUCACAGCUCCAACUCUAUUAGUGAGAAUGAAGCUGAGUUUCGUUCAUUUUAUGUGCUUCUUCACCUUGAUUCUAAGAGCCAACAAAGGGAGGAGUCACUGUCUUUUUGGUUUCGUCGUGUACCUUCUCUAGUUAUGAAGUCUAAAGAAAUGCAUUUUGCCCGACAAGUUCUAAGAUUUUAUCGGAUGGGAAAUUAUAGGAGUUUUCUCUGUACUGUAUCGGCUGAGGCAUCAUAUCUACAGUACUGCAUUAUUGAGCCUUAUGUAAAUGAGGUUCGAGCACUGGCUGUUUCUUAUAUAAAUAAUUGUUGCUACAAGCUUCAUCCAUAUCCUUUGGAACACUUGUCCAAACUUUUGAUGAUGAAGGAAUCAGAUAUGGAAUCCUUUUGCCAUGCAUGCGGUCUUAAGACUUUAAGUGAUGAUGGUGGAAAUAAGUUGUUACCCACCAAGCAAACAACUUUCUGUAACCCCAAGGGGAGUUUUCAGAGCUGCAGCAUUUUGGGAUUAGAGCAAUAUCAGAGGGAAGGGGGGAUUCGAACUCUGCUCUUUAGGUAGGGGGAUUAUGCACCAACCAAUAAGACAAAUGCUUGGGUGCUCUACUCUCUCUAAGACAGACCGCAGCCUAGCAUUUCUGAUCAAAUAUUGUUGCUCGCAGAAGAACGGUAGAUGAGCUAACCUUCCCACUAGUCAUAUAAACUGUCCUUGUACACUCUUGAUGUUAUUUUGUUCUUCACUGCAUAACUUCGUUGUAAAUACUAUGAUUUGUGGUAGAUGGGCUAAUGUUCCCACCAGUCAUAUAAACUGUCCUUGUACACUCUUGAUGC